CUGACCCUGCAUUAGGUAGAGGUAUGUACAUAAUUUUACAAGAACUCUUAAGCAUUUCUAAAUGGCUGAAGGUCUAGUUCAUGAAAAGUUUCAUGAAAGUUUUUCUUCUGUUUUGUGAAGAUAUGAUAUAAACUAAGAGAACUGUAGACCAUAGAACUGUAACAUUACAUAGACUUUCUUCCAUUUAAGGCAGACUCCCCAAAUGUACACACCAUAUUAGAGUUCAGAAUAAUGGUGCUUUGUAUUUAACCAAAAUUCAGUCAAGAUACUGAAUUAAAGAAGGCAUCUGGAAUUUUAUACAAGUGAUAUGUUUACAGGAGAAGAAUUUAUUUGGGGGCGCCUGGCUGCCUCAGUCAGUGGAGCAUGCAACUCUUGACCUAGGGAACGUACGGUUUACUUAAAAAUCUUAAAAAAAAAAAAAAAAAAAAAAAAGAAACCCCUCAUUUGGUGGUUCUCGGAAAAGGCCUAAAAUAAAAUGGCACGAAGAUGCCAUUUUAGCAUAGUGCUUCCUUCAGGAUAAGAAACUUUAAGGAAAGCCUACUGGAAAGAGCACACUGUUGGCCUUCAGUCAAAAAAGAUUAGAACUUACUCAAAGUUCUACUGUGCAUGCAUGCAGGGAAAGGUAAUUCUGAUAAAUCGCUAAGACUCCCACGACACAGUACUACGUGCUCGGGGGGAUGAGGCGCGCCUGUAACCGGACGAAGAUGGCUGUUCAACGCCAGCAGCAGGUGAACCGCUGUUUCCUAGCCAGACGUGCGGACACCUGACGGGAACACUAGCACUGGCUGCUGAUUUAUGAAGUGGAAGGCCAGGACUCGGUGUCUUAAGCUAGAGUACCAUCUGUCCCUCUCCCUCGAUCCCAGGAGAAAUCUCCCAGAGAGACGCGGCACCACAGAGGAGCUCCGCCGCGAGUUUUCGGAUGGCGGGCGGACGGCGGGCGAGCGCAGGUUUCUAAAAUGGAAGGCCAGCAACAAAACAAAUGGAUCAAGUGAUGCUCUGUCCACUUAGCAGAAUGUUCCCGGUCUUAUGCUGAGGAAAACGUGAAGAAACGAACAGAAGGGCAAGUGCACUUUGGCUUUAACAGAUAUCCAUCUGUUGGCAACGUCCGUUUUGCACCUGAGCCUUUGGACAGAGGCAAAAAAAGCCCAUUCACCACGGCUCCUCUGUCCUGGAGGAGAGAGAACAAAUCACACCAAAGAGAUACUCAGGAGGGCUGGGUGGCUCCCUCCCAGGGUGACAGGAGGCGAAAGAUGGAUCUAUGACCUGGGUCUGGCCCAUGUUUCUAGAGUAGAAUGCAAUGCUGGAAGGAACUUCGCCCUGACAAACCUACUUCAAUGGUUUAAUAAAACGGACUUUGCUGGAGAA